rnacentral:rRNA from 1 species
CCUACGGGAGGCAGCAGUGGGGAAUAUUGCACAAUGGGCGAAAGCCUGAUGCAGCGACGCCGCGUGAGGGAUGACGGCCUUCGGGUUGUAAACCUCUUUCAGCAGGGAAGAAGCGCAAGUGACGGUACCUGCAGAAGAAGCACCGGCUAACUACGUGCCAGCAGCCGCGGUAAUACGUAGGGUGCGAGCGUUGUCCGGAAUUAUUGGGCGUAAAGAGCUCGUAGGCGGUCUGUCGCGUCGGAUGUGAAAGCCCGGGGCUUAACCCCGGGUCUGCAUUCGAUACGGGCAGACUAGAGUGUGGUAGGGGAGAUCGGAAUUCCUGGUGUAGCGGUGAAAUGCGCAGAUAUCAGGAGGAACACCGGUGGCGAAGGCGGAUCUCUGGGCCAUUACUGACGCUGAGGAGCGAAAGCGUGGGGAGCGAACAGGAUUAGAUACCCUGGUAGUCCACGCCGUAAACGUUGGGAACUAGGUGUUGGCGACAUUCCACGUCGUCGGUGCCGCAGCUAACGCAUUAAGUUCCCCGCCUGGGGAGUACGGCCGCAAGGCUAAAACUUAAAGGAAUUGACGG